UUCUUCCUCCUUCAAAUCCCUCCUCCACGUUCGCCCCCUCCGAUUGCCAAUCACCGGCGUCCGGGCCGUCCCCACCGUCACCCGCGUUCGCCCCCUCCGCCUCCCACGUGUCCGUGCCUUAGAAAGCCAUCACCGAAGCUCUGCCUCCGCCGGAAACGACGACGCUGCCUUCGCCGCUCUGCCUCCGCCGGAAACUACGCCGCCUUCCUUCGCCGCUCUGCUGCGCUGCCGGAAACGACGUGGCGAAGCCUUCGCCUCCGCUUCCGUUGUGACUAUACGCCACUGCUGGAGAAGGUCAACCCCCGGAACUACGCCGCUGUCAAAUCCGUCGUCGAUCGGAGCCUGCCACCGGGAGAGAAGGUCCGCUCCUGCCGCCGCCACUGAAGAAGCUCAGUCGCUGCUGCCGAUUAUUCCUCUUUGCCGUUGAAGCUCAGCAGCUUAUGUUCGAGGACGCUCAGCAGCGUAUGCUCGACCAGAUAUUGGCUAGGCUUCCACCUGGAUCUACGGGACCCACUCCACCCACCGGACCUUCGUCUUGAUUAUUAUGUUGUGUUUCUGUACUUUGAAUACUUGACUAUUUCUAUUAUGUUUCUUAACACUUGAAUAUUUUGUUAUGUUAUGAC
rnacentral:lncRNA from 1 species